rnacentral:misc_RNA from 1 species
GAAGCUGGAUCUUCCUAUCUUAGACUCUGCGAAUAACUUCCUCUGAGCAAGUAGUUGACUAGAGGUGAAAGAUCCCCGUGGAGUCCCAGAAGAGGAAGAACCACUGGAGUUGGCAAUACUUCCAUUUGGGAAUGAUUUGUGUGAACCAUGACUGGAAUCCUGGAAUGAAGAUUCUGAACUUGAAGAACCUAGGGCAUCCUGAUGACCAAAGGGCAUGUAAUCAGUCCCUGGAAGUUCCAGUUUGGG